CGUUCCCGGGUCUUGUACACACCGCCCGUCACACCACGAAAGUCGGCAACACCCGAAGCCGGUGGCCUAACCCGCAAGGGAAGGAGCCGUCGAAGGUGGGGCUGGCGAUUGGGGUG
rnacentral:rRNA from 1 species